rnacentral:rRNA from 1 species
AUGGCGUCCUUUUCUGCCGCUCUCGUCGCGCUGCUGGUCGCGAGCUGCGCCGCGGCGGCGGCGGCUACGACGUUCGACGUCGGCGACGGGCACGGCUGGCAGACCGGCGUCGACUACACGGCCUGGACGUCCGACAAGACCUUCGCGGUCGGCGACGCGCUAGUGUUCAACUACACGAGCAAGGCGCACACGGUGACGGAGGUGAACAAGAGCGGCUACGACGCCUGCUCGGGCGGCAACUCGCUGAGCAACGACGACAGCGGCGCCACCACCAUCACGCUCACGACCCCUGGCGUGCACUACUUCAUCUGCGACGUCCCCGGCCACUGCGCCAGCGGCAUGAAGCUCGCCGUCACCGUCACGGUCGCGGGGGGCUCCACGACGGGAGGCACAAUCCCCGCCGGCGCCGCCGGGGGAUCCCUCCUGCCGGCGAUGAGCGGCCUCGUCACCGCCGCCGCGGGGGCUCUAAUCGUGCUCGCACCAUUCUGA